CCUGGAAAUGAUGUAAGACGCAGCCACUCCUCUGUUAGAGCUACAACCAAACAAUGCUCGGGCUAUCCACAGCAGCUGCUCUCCAAAUGUCAGCGCCAGCCCAGUGGAAAAAACCUGAAACCCACAAGCUUCCAGAAGGACGGUGGCGUGCCUUGCCUUUUCCCAGCCGCAUUUUCCCUGAGCGCUCUCGGGAACCUGGCAACAGGUCUGUGGACCACAGCUGGGAGCUGCUGUUAACCAGAGGACCUGGCAUCCUUUCCUCCUGCUUCUGUAAACGCUAACCAGAACCUGAGAGGUUCAGAUCAAAGUGCUGUUGAGUCAUGCAGUCACACAAACGACAGCCGUGACAGUUUCAUCACUGAAGAUUAACUUCCAUUUGUUCCAUUACUUUAUGAAGUGAUUUCUGCCACUGAGUCAGGCACAUCACUUCCUCUUAGACUUAGGCAUUCCCUCCCCCUCCAACAUGUGUAAUGAUGUGUGUUUUUCAAAAUGUGGCCCAGCCAGGUCUGUAGGUCUUCCUGGGUUGAAUGGACUGUUUACAGAAAGGGAAGAUUCAGGGGCCCAAGGUCAGCGUUACAGAAUUAUAUAAGGUUUCCUGUUUGGGCAGCUGGUCUACCAACUGCUCAGAUUAGGUCAGACUGUUUCCAUGCCAGCUGGGUGUGGUGACACACACCUGUAAUCCCCGUGCUCAGAGGUAGAAGCGGGAGGAUCAGAAAUUGAAAGUAAUCUUCAGCCACAUGGGCAGUUUGAGGCUAACCUGGGACACAUGAGACCCUGUCUCAAACCAGACAGCAUUACCAGGAGUCUGGGAAGGAAACAGUGCCCAGAAUAGGAAAGGAGAUUAUUCUUUGAAGGUUUUCAUCAAUUAGCCUUUACUGGUGACCAUAUGUCACUUCUCAGCACUCUGGUCCUAUAUUCUAUGCUAGGUGAAAUUUUUCCCUCUAGCCAGAUGCUAAUUGGGCAUUAUUGACUGUCUUAUCAUUUACACCACUGCAGUUCUUAGAAUAGGUGUGUCCCUGUAGUCACACCAUGGUGAAUGCUUGUUGUUUUUAUUAUUGUAUUUAUUUACUUGAGAGAGAGAGAGAAUGGAUGUGCCAGCACCUCCAGCCACUGCAGUGAACAGAUGCAUAUACCACCUAGUGCAUCUGGCUUACGUGGGUCCUGGGGAAUCAAGCCUGGGUCCUUCGGCUUUGCAGGCAAGCGCCUUAACUGCUAAGUCAUCUUUCUAGCCUAUGAAUGCUUGUUAUAUGAAGGAAUGAGGAAAGAUUUCCUGGAGAAAAAGGGAGAAGGACUAAUAGCAAAGAAAAAUCGUGAGGGCAGAAGUAAAACGAGUAUCUCAGCCAAGUCUUUCUCUGUGGACUCGGAUGUCACCAUCCAGUCAGCCCUGUAGCCAUAGGUUCACUUCGGCUUUUACCAACUGUCGAUGGCAAAUAUUUGGGAAGAAUAACUGAGCCGAUGUUGAAUGUUUCCAAACUUUUCUCUUGUUCUUUUUUUUUUUUUUCUUCCCUAACCAGUACAGUAUCACAACUGUUUGCCUGGCAUGGUCAUAUUGCAGUUGGACAGAUAUUUGGGAAAGAUGCUGCCUCCUGUUUCCCUGGUAACAUUUAAAAGAAAAGAGUCACUUCCCUGACCACAGAAACAGUCCUCUGGUCCUUGGUGGAGCCUGUCACUCACCUGAUCAAAAGACCACUCCCCACCUAUAAGACGUGCCAAAAAGGUGGCAGGAACAGUUAGUCCCUCGGUGAGAAUGUGCACUAUGCUGCACAGAGGCCCCUCCCCUGAGGCAGUUGCUUGAAGAACCUUAUUGAGGAGCCUGCCUGCUUGAGGUCGAACUCAUAAUGCAUAACUUUACCUUUUCUUCCUCUUUCUUUUUUUUUUUUUUGUUUGUUUGUUCAUUUUUCAAGGUAGGGUUUUGCUUUAGCUCAGGCUGACCUGGAAUUCGCUAUGUAGUUUCAGGGUGGCCUUGAACUCAUGGCUAUCCUUCUACCUCUGCCUCCCGAGUGCUGGGAUUAAAGGCGUGCGCCACCACACCAUGCCCUCUUCCCUUUCUUCCUGUGUUUCCCGUUCCGGUUCCUGGGGAAAUCUUCAGCAUGCUCUCCUGACACUUUGGAGCUUCUUCACCCAAAGCACAUGGAUAGAGUUUGUUUUCAGUGGCAAGAGGACAUGGAGUGCCCAUCUUCUCUCUCUGUUUGCAACUAAAUAAAAAUAACUUAACAAUGCUA